CAGGCAUCAUCUACCCUAUGCCUAUCUUGGAGAUCUGUGUAGUACUCAUCAAUUAAUCAGAUGAUUCACUAUACUUAAAGGAUUCAUCCCCACCAUUUAGACAGCCCAGGUUUUGCUGGGUCCGUGCUUCUCCUUUUUUGUCAGCUGGUUCUGUUUGGCUCCCCUCUAUCUCCCCCCCAUAACCUCUUGCCCCUCCCUGCCCAGUGUAGGACCUGUAAGUGCGACCUCUCGUAGGCAUGGAGGACGCCCACCUACUUGCAGCCUGGUCUUUUCCAUCGACCCUCCCAUUCCGUGUGGUUCUCUGGGGGUGCUGUUUCUCGGUGAUAGGGUCCUGUGGUGGACCCAUGGUUUCAGUCUUUGACAUUGAUUUUUUGAGUUCAUGUUUUCAAUCAUUUCCCCCUGAAGAGACCUCCAUUAUCAAAGGUCGAAACGCGUCGGGGUUUCUAGUAC